UACGAAGGGGGCUAGCGUUGUUCGGAAUUACUGGGCGUAAAGCGUGCGCAGGCGGUUUUGUAAGACAGGCGUGAAAUCCCCGGGCUUAACCUGGGAAUGGCGCUUGUGACUGCAAAGCUGGAGUGCGGCAGAGGGGGAUGGAAUUCCGCGUGUAGCAGUGAAAUGCGUAGAUAUGCGGAGGAACACCGAUGGCGAAGGCAAUCCCCUGGGCCUGCACUGACGCUCAUGCACGAAAGCGUGGGGAGCAAACAGG
rnacentral:rRNA from 1 species